rnacentral:rRNA from 1 species
CCUUAGUGGCGGACGGGUGAGUAACGCGUGGGAACCUGCCAAGCAGUGGGGAAUAACCUCGGGAAACUGAGGCUAAUACCGCAUACGCCCUUUUGGGGAAAGAUUUAUCGCUGUUUGAUGGUCCCGCGUCCGAUUAGCUAGUUGGUAAGGUAAUGGCUUACCAAGGCGACGAUCGGUAGCUGGUCUGAGAGGAUGAUCAGCCACACUGGAACUGAGACACGGUCCAGACUCC